rnacentral:rRNA from 1 species
UACGAAGGGGGCUAGCGUUGCUCGGAAUCACUGGGCGUAAAGCGCACGUAGGCGGAUUGCUAAGUCAGGGGUGAAAUCCUGGAGCUCCACUCCAGAACUGCCCUUGAUACUGGCGGUCUCGAGUCCGGGAGAGGUGAGUGGAACUGCGAGUGUAGAGGUGAAAUUCGUAGAUAUUCGCAAGAACACCAGUGGCGAAGGCGGCUCACUGGCCCGGUACUGACGCUGAGGUGCGAAAGCGUGGGGAGCAAACAGG